rnacentral:rRNA from 8 species
AAUGGGUGAGUAACACGUACCUAACCUACCUUUAAGAUUGGGAUAACUACUGGAAACAGUAGCUAAUACCGAAUACGGGUUUCUUUCGCAUGAAAGAAAUUUAAAAGAAGCCCUUAAAGCUUCACUUAGAAAUGGGGGUGCGGAACAUUAGCUAGUUGGUAGGGUAAAGGCCUACCAAGGCGAUGAUGUUUAGCCGGGCCGAGAGGCUGUACGGCCACACUGGGACUGAGAUACGGCCCAGACUCCUACGGGAGGCAGCAGUAGGGAAUUUUCCACAAUGAGCGAAAGCUUGAUGGAGCGACACAGCGUGCAGGAUGAAGGCCUUCGGGUUGUAAACUGCUGUUGCAAGGGAAGAAAAAACAAAGUAGGAAAUGACUUUGCAUUGACGGUACCUUGUUAGAAAGCGAUGGCAAACUAUGUGCCAGCAGCCGCGGUAAUACAUAGGUCGCAAGCGUUAUCCGGAAUUAUUGGGCGUAAAGAGUUCGUAGGUUGUUUGUUAAGUCUGAAGUUAAAUACUGGAGCUCAACUCCAGCCCGCUUUGGAUACUGGCAAGCUGGAAUUACAAAGAGGUUAGCGGAAUUCCUAGUGAAGCGGUGGAAUGCGUAGAUAUUAGGAAGAACACCAAUAGGCGAAGGCAGCUAACUGGUUGUAUAUUGACACUGAGGAACGAAAGCGUGGGGAGCAAACAGGAUUAGAUACCCUGGUAGUCCACGCCGUAAACGAUGAUCAUUAGUUGGUAGAGAAUUUACCGAUGCAGCUAACGCAUUAAAUGAUCCGCCUGAGUAGUAUGCUCGCAAGAGUGAAACUUAAAGGAAUUGACGGGGACCCGCACAAGCGGAGGAGCAUGUGGUUUAAUUUGAAGAUACGCGUAGAACCUUACCCACUCUUGACAUCCCUUGCAAUGCUAUAGAGAUAUAGCGGAGGUUAACAAGGUGACAGAUGGUG